rnacentral:rRNA from 1 species
CAACGCCGCGUGGAGGAUGAAGCCCCUUGGGGCGUAAACUCCUUUCGAUCGGGACGAUAAUGACGGUACCGAGAGAAGAAGCCCCGGCUAACUUCGUGC